AAAAGAGACAAGCAUAGGUCCCUCACAAGAUGCCACCCGCUUCAUACAAGUGUCUGGCAGCACUGUGUUACUGUUAAAGCCACCAGCACGAGCACCUGACGAUGCUGAUCCAGUGAGUACUCCAUCAAAGGCAUACUGUAGGCCUGGCAUGUCUUGUCUACUAGCUUCAAUAUGAAUCCGAUUAAAUGUGAUGGGGUCAAGGCCCCAUUUCAUCAGCACAUAACGGCGAUGAUGAGGAGACCAUCUCUCUGGAUUCCAAAAGGCAUAAGGUAUCAUGUCAAACUUGUGAAAGUACUAUACAAAGGAGUCAUCAUUGGGAGCCAUCACAAAAUCUCAUUUCUUUUACAGGACCCAGAGUCAUUGGUGCACUGGACUGCACAAACAUAAGGAUAAAAGCCCCCUCAGGUGCCCAUGAGGCAGAUUUUGUAAAUAUGAAAUCUUUUUACAGCAUUAAUGUUCAGGUGAACAUAACUUUUUGAUCUUUUCCAUUGAACACUGGCAAAAUGGCCUGGCUCAGUCCAUGACUCCAGAAUCUUUUGGACCUCUGAAAUCUAUCAGCGCCUAUCACAAGGUGAAUUCUCUGGUGUGUUGCUGGUAGACAGGGGGUAAGGCUGCCAGACGUUUUUCCUGACACCUUUCACAGACCCCCAGGAAGCACAGCAGGCCUACAACUAUGCCCAUGCUAGGGCCAGAGUUGAAAUGACCUUUGGCCUCCUGAAGGCACGCUCUCACUGCUUUCACAAAUUAAGGGUCAGCCCUGUGAGGGCAUGUGACAUUACUGUGGCUUGUGGUGUCCUGCCUGAGGAAGGAGAGGGCACCCAGAGUGCCGCCAGCCAUGGACUGGGACAAUCCGGAAAUCUUCUCCGAUGACAACAGUGGUCGGCUGCUGAGGGACCAAUAAGUGUUG